UGAGACAUUCUUAGUUCUGCUACACAAGCAGUAGAAUAGCCUGUGCCAUUUGACUGCACGGAAGAUAAUGGUGAGCGUGGUGAGCAGCAUCUCUGAAGACUCAAUGGGAGAUGGGGAAGUUCCUGACUGCAGAAGUAAUCCAGCGUCCAGUGGAGAACGGUGCAUGUUCUAAGUUCUUGGUGAAACUCAGAACUUUUGCCUUUUCCAGACAGCUCAAACCCCUCUCCCCUGCCUAUGCAUGCACUCCCCCUUCCCAAAGGACAUGUUCAGGCAAACCACUGUCCAAGUGGCAAGUGUGCACCAGAACCAGGAACUGCAUUUGCAGAACCUCUGGAGGAAUCAAAAGUAACUGUUCUCCACUCCUCCAGAGGAGAGAUGGCAGCUCUGUCCUGCUCAGGUAUGUCUGCUGCCAGGCCUCGGUGGGAUUGCCCGCUUAUGCACAAACCCCGGUAAUGCCAGUGCUGGAGAUGAAGUGGUAGAUAAUUACACAUCUUUUCUCUGUUAAAUAUACCAGCUUUUUUUUGGGAGGUGGGAGGUUUUGCAUACCUUCAGGAACUUGGGCAGCUGUUUAAAAAAGAUGGCAUUGAUCAGCAAUAAGCCAUGAAGAAGCCUGGCCUUGCUGAGCUUGGUACUGAGGCCCACUUCUUAAAUUCUCAUUAAAACUCUCCUGUUCCUGUUAGAGGAGAGCUUUACCAUGGAGCUAUCUGUUCCAGUUAAAUCCCAAAAUAAAUAAUACAGGGAAGCUGUCCAUGGGCUUCAAAAAAGCUUCAGAACUCAUCCUUAGUAAGAGGAGGAAUAGCCCUUUGUUCAGGCUCUCUCAUAGUAUCACUUUCUGCAUUCUGCCUGUUAGUAUAAAUCAGAAAUUGGUUGUUUUGUAUAUUCAGUAUCCUUGCUAGGGAAAUGUGUACAUCCUGCUGCUUUUUAUUUCCUCUUUAACCAUUCUCAGUUUUUGCUGUACAUCUUUUAAAUGGAGGAAAAUGUCAAAUUGGUUCCAUACAUCCUCAGUCUACAAAUGGUAAACACAAAAAUAUCCUGGUUAUACAACUGGUUCUGUGACAACUCUUGUAAAGGGUUUGAUGAAAGACAAAUAAGUCUCAAGGGUGAUAAUUAAUGUUGUUUAAUUCUUACCUUAUACUGCUUCUACAUACUUCGUGUUGUUGGAGAACUGGUUGCUCAAACUAAAAAUAUCUCACUGGAAUUCUGACCUGACAAAAACACUUGAGGCAUUUAAUUACUGCUGUAUCCACAAAGCUAAAGCGGCAGCCUUCAGGACCAGCUCGCCAGUCACCAAAAAAACCCCACAGAUCUCAUU